rnacentral:rRNA from 1 species
CACGAACGCUGGCGGCGUGCCUAAUACAUGCAAGUCGAGCGCAGGAAACUGACGGAACUCUUCGGAGGGAAGGCAGUGGAAUGAGCGGCGGACGGGUGAGUAACACGUAAGGAACCUGCCUCAAGGAUUGGGAUAACUCCGAGAAAUCGGAGCUAAUACCGGAUAGUUCAACGGACCGCAUGGUCCGCUGAUGAAAGGCGCUUCGGCGUCACCUUGAGAUGGCCUUGCGGUGCAUUAGCUAGUUGGUGGGGUAACGGCCCACCAAGGCGACGAUGCAUAGCCGACCUGAGAGGGUGAUCGGCCACACUGGGACUGAGACACGGCCCAGACUCCUACGGGAGGCAGCAGUAGGGAAUCUUCCACAAUGGACGAAAGUCUGAUGGAGCAACGCCGCGUGAGUGAUGAAGGUUUUCGGAUCGUAAAGUUCUGUUGUAAGGGAAGAACAAGUGCCGCAGGCAAUGGCGGCACCUUGACGGUACCUUGCGAGAAAGCCACGGCUAACUACGUGCCAGCCGCCGCGGUAAGAC